AGAGUUUGAUCCUGGCUCAGGAUGAACGCUGGCGGCGUGCCUAAUACAUGCAAGUCGAGCGAACAGACGAGGAGCUUGCUCCUUUGACGUUAGCGGCGGACGGGUGAGUAACACGUGGGUAACCUACCUAUAAGACUGGGAUAACUUCGGGAAACCGGAGCUAAUACCGGAUAAUAUUUCGAACCGCAUGGUUCGAUAGUGAAAGAUGGCUUUGCUAUCACUUAUAGAUGGACCUGCGCCGUAUUAGCUAGUUGGUAAGGUAACGGCUUACCAAGGCAACGAUACGUAGCCGACCUGAGAGGGUGAUCGGCCACACUGGAACUGAGACACGGUCCAGACUCCUACGGGAGGCAGCAGCGGGG
rnacentral:rRNA from 13 species